rnacentral:rRNA from 1 species
UAGGGAAUCUUCCACAAUGGACGCAAGUCUGAUGGAGCAACGCCGCGUGAGUGAAGAAGGCUUUCGGGUCGUAAAACUCUGUUAUUGAAGAAGAACGUGUGUGACAGUAACUGGUCAUGCAGUGACGGUAUUCAAUCAGAAAGUCACGGCUAACUACGUGCCACAGCCGCGGUAAUACGUAGGUGGCAAGCGUUGUCCGGAUUUAUUGGGCGUAAAGCGAGUGCAGGCGGUCUUUUAAGUCUGAUGUGAAAGCCUUCGGCUUAACCGAAGAAGGGCAUCGGAAACUGGGAGACUUGAGUGCAGAA